CGUGUCCAUGCAUUGCCAUGAGAGUAAAAAAAAUAGUAUAAAACAUAUAUACGAAACGAUAAAUAUUAAUAUAAUAUGCAAAAUCCAUGUGAUAAAAUAUCACCAUAACACUAAUAUUAUAUUGACGAUAUAAAUAUGCAAUAAUAAUAUAAAUACAUCGAUAUAAAAUCCAUGUGAGAAACUAGAACUCAACUUUCUCUUCCUCUCUCUACCAACACAAACACUAGUUGUGUAUCUUGAAUUUGCAAUUUCACGGGGUAUCGGUGCUCCUGCAGUCUUUAGAACCAGAACAAGCUCUUUGAAAAUCCUUCUAUCCUCCUCAUUCACAAACACAAACACAACAGCCAUUCACCUCCUCCCCCAUCCGGGAUGCCCUUUCAACCUAGUGAAUAUAUUCAUCAAUGGAAUUUGGUAAAUCAAACAAUAUCACUUGACGUACUUUUAGAAGAUCCAUUCCACACCCCAGUCCCCAGGAUUCCAGUAGAAACAACGAAUGGUGGGACGCCCCUGCCCCAGCGGCGGCGAGGGUGAGCGAUAGGGAGGGGAAGAGGCAGAUGCAGCGGAGGAUCGCCGGAUGGAGCACCACCGCUGCCAUUUCUCUGGAUUUGACUAACCGAGGCGGAGAGGAGCAAACAUACCAGUGUGAUUUGGCCUUUGCCGCCGCCGUCAUCACCUCACCGGCCCCGGCGUCGACGUGGCUGAGCCCACAGCCUGGCUCAUGGGCGAGCGCAACGGCUUCAUCACCUGGCAGCGCGGCGAGUUUGCUUUCGCCUCUUCCACAUCGAACUCCUCGCCAUCGGAGGGGGGUCGCUGGGCGGUUGCAUUGCAUCCGAGGGGUAGGGGGAGGGCUGAAGGCUGAAGCGGUAGAUGAGAGGAGGCGGCAUGCUGGGCUUGCUACGUGGGCCACACCAAAUAACACAGCCCACGCAGCCUGUUGUCGUUGUCAUGGCUUGCAAAUUAUAGUACCAUACUCAAGAAUUGUGGUACCAGCUUAUAAGGGGUACUGCUUCGAAGAAAGUAAUCGUGGUCAAGUGCUCUUGCAGUCUACUCUUGGCGAUUUUUUGCGACGUGAAAAAAAGAAAGACCACAC
rnacentral:misc_RNA from 1 species